rnacentral:rRNA from 1 species
CAGCCGCCGCGGUAAUACGGAGGGAGCUAGCGUUGUUCGGAAUUACUGGGCGUAAAGGGCGUGUAGGCGGUUUAUCAAGUUGGGAGUGAAAUCCCGAAGCUUAACUUCGGAACUGCUUUCAAAACUGGUAGACUAGAGAUAGGUAGAGGAUGAUGGAAUUCCUAGUGUAGAGGUGAAAUUCGUAGAUAUUAGGAGGAACAUCGGAGGUGAAAACGGUCAUCUGGGCCUUAUCUGACGCUAAAGCGCGAAAGCGUGGGGAGCAAACAGGAUUAGAUACCCCCGUAGUCCCUGUCUCUUAUAC